GACGAACCACACGAACGUUAUUCGGAAUCACUGGGCUUAAAGGGUGCGUAGGCGGCGCGGAAAGUAGGGUGUGAAAUCCCUCGGCUUAACCGAGGAAUAGCGCUCUAAACUACCGUGCUCGAGGGAGAUAGAGGUGAGCGGAACUUAGGGUGGAGCGGUGAAAUGCGUUGAUAUCCUAAGGAACACCGGUGGCGAAAGCGGCUCACUGGAUCUCUUCUGACGCUGAUGCACGAAAGCGUGGGGAGCAAACAGG
rnacentral:rRNA from 1 species